UACAGAGGUCCCAAGCGUUGUUCGGAUUCAUUGGGCGUAAAGGGUGCGUAGGUGGCGCCGUAAGUCGGGUGUGAAAUUUCGGAGCUUAACUCCGAAACUGCAUUCGAUACUGCGGUGCUUGAGGACUGGAGAGGAGACUGGAAUUUAUGGUGUAGCAGUGAAAUGCGUAGAGAUCAUAAGGAAGACCAGUGGCGAAGGCGGGCUACUGGGCCGAUACUGACGCUGAGGCGCGAAAGCCAGGGGAGCAAACGGG
rnacentral:rRNA from 1 species